rnacentral:rRNA from 1 species
CCUACGGGAGGCAGCAGUGGGGAAUAUUGCGCAAUGGGGGAAACCCUGACGCAGCAACGCCGCGUGAGCGAUGAAGGUCUUCGGAUUGUAAAGCUCUGUCUUUUGGGACGAUAAUGACGGUACCAAAGGAGGAAGCCACGGCUAACUACGUGCCAGCAGCCGCGGUAA